CUGGUCUUGGGUACUGUAUAAAACCUACAACUACUAGCAGGGUGACCAGACUGGUCUUGGGUACUGUAUAAAACCUACAACUACUAGCAGGGUGACCCCCUCCCUCCCCCUCCACACAGGUAUGUUUUCACUUUUCUGAAUAUUGUCAAAUAAGACACAGCCUAAACAUUGCUAUGACAGAUUUGAAUGAAUCCCAGCCUUAGUGUCCUUAAUAGUCAAUAAGUACACACUACUAUGUGUCCUACUGCCAUCACUAGUCACAAAGGGUAGUAGAGGAUAUUAUAUAAAUAUUCCAACAAAUAGACUACGAUUCAUUCAAAUGAAAUGUCCCAGAUGUUCGUGAGAUGUUCACUGUCAACCCUGUUGAUUUGAUUGAAUUCCAGCCAUAUUACCAGCAGAUGUAUGGCUGAAUGAAUGAUAGGUAGCCUGGGUCCCUUCACAGACUGUAGAGUAGCGCCCAAUCCAAAAUAGACCCCUGGACACUUCUCCCCUCACCAAUGCUCAGGGCCCUUCAUUCAGAUGUCAAACUAUUGGGUUUAAGCAAUGUAGAGCCAUUUGAUGUAGGUGGACUUUCUGGCCAUAUAGUUUACAUUUAUCUAAUCCUUUCAGAUGAGUAGUGAUGUAUAGGGGACAGGGGACAGGGAUUAACUAGAGGUUCUGGUGUACAGUAGACUAGCUAGCUGGGGUCUGUUCAGCGAGGGGACAGGGAUUAACUAGAGGUUCUGGUGUACAGUAGACUAGCUAGCUGGGGUCUGUUCAGCGAGGGGACAGGGAUUAACUAGAGGUUCUGAUGUACAGUAGACUAGCUAGCUGGGGUCUGUUCAGCGAGGGGACAGGGAUUAUCUAGAGGUUCUGGUGUACAGUAGACUAGCUAGCUGGGGUCUGUUCAGCGAGGGGACAGGGAUUAUCUAGAGGUUCUGGUGUACAGUAGACUAGCUAGCUGGGGUCUGUUCAGCGAGGGGACAGGGAUUAUCUAGAGGUUCUGGUGUACAGUAGACUAGCUAGCUGGGGUCUGUUCAGCGAGGGGACAGGGAUUAUCUAGAGGUUCUGAUGUACAGUAGACUAGCUGGGGUCUGUUCAGCGAGGGGACAGGGAUUAUCUAGAGGUUCUGAUGUACAGUAGACUAGCUGGGGUCUGUUCAGCGAGGCUGCAGAUGGAAAACCAUUCAUGACGUCCUGUCUGUUCUGUUCUACACCAUAUAUAUUUCUAAGUAUGGUGUUUUGUAACGUUCCACCCUGCUGAACAGAGACCAGGUGAUGAUGUAAAUACAAUGUAACUACCUCUGAACUAGUUUGUUAUUGUUCCUAUGGACAGGUUGCCUGAAGUCAUGAAAAUGAUGCAGAAGGCCUUACAGUACAGGACACAACAGGUGUAUAACAGUACAGGACACAAGUGUAUAACAGUACAUUAUUCAACUGAUAGUCUGAUAGAGAGGCAUCUAGGUCAGAUGACAAGAAGCUGAAUGUCGUUUGUCUGAGAGGCAUCUAGGUCAGAUGACAAGAAGCUGAAUGUCGUUGGUCAGAUGAAGCUGCCAUGUGGCUCAUUUCAACUAGUUUUGUCUUGUUAGAACUGACCUCAAGUUAAUGCUAAAAUUCGCUAUCUAACAACUGUCACAAUAUAUUUGAAACAAGUACUCAUUCUACACAUGUAUGUGUUCAAUAAACAUUGGAGAUGAAAUAGUUCACGUGUCAGUCUAAGCCAACCCUGUCAGUUUUGCCCCAUAGUUCCACACGUGUCAGUCUAAGCCAACCCUGUCAGUUUUGCCCCAUAGUUACACACACAUCCGUUUUGUUGCUAAAUAACCAACCCUUCUAAAAAAAAACAUUUCCCCUUUGUUUUAGCACAAUACAUAUAAAAUAUAACCUGUAGUUUGUUACAAACUGACUUGUUCCUUUGGAUGUACAUACCUUCUAUUGUUGCUAAAAACGUUUUUAAUUGAAUUAAAUACCUGUUAAAAGUUAUGGUUGAAUAAAAAUGGUUUUAUACGAGUA
ensembl:lncRNA